CGCAGUUGGACCGGGGGCUCAGGCUGUGCUGUGUGAUCCGGCCGUGACUCAAACUGCGUCCCGAAGUUGUGCAGGACCACAGUUUCAUUAAAAUAUGGUUGUGUACUUGUGAACAUUUUCAUUUUGCUUCCCAGAAGAAACGUGGAUUGAGAAUGGCUAAUGUGGAGAAUGUGGAGAGAGGCCAGUAGGAAUACCAGUUGGAGAUGAUCUCUGUCGUCUUGAAAGAGAGAGCAAGAGAAGGGGGUGAGCAGAGGGAGAGAAAGUACCUUAAGCAGAUUCCACACUGAGCAUGGAGCCUGACACAGAGCUUGGUCUCAUGACCCUGAGAUCAGCCUGAGCUGAAAUCAAGAGUCAAAUGCCCAAAUGAAUGAGCCACCCCGGUGCUCCCACCCCCCACAGUUUUCUGC